rnacentral:rRNA from 1 species
GACGAACGCUGGCGGCGUGCUUAACACAUGCAAGUCGAACGAAAAGAGGGAAAGAGCUUGCUCUUUCCGGAAUUGAGUGGCAAACGGGUGAGUAACACGUAAACAACCUGCCUUCAGGAUGGGGACAACAGACGGAAACGACUGCUAAUACCGAAUAAGUUCCAAGGGCCGCAUGGCCCAUGGAAGAAAAGGUGGCCUCUACCUGUAAGCUAUCGCCUGAAGAGGGGUUUGCGUCUGAUUAGCUGGUUGGAGGGGUAACGGCCCACCAAGGCGACGAUCAGUAGCCGGUCUGAGAGGAUGAACGGCCACACUGGAACUGAGACACGGUCCAGACUCCUACGGGAGGCAGCAGUGGGGAAUCUUCCGCAAUGGGCGAAAGCCUGACGGAGCAACGCCGCGUGAGUGAUGACGGCCUUCGGGUUGUAAAACUCUGUGAUCCGGGACGAAAAGGCAGAGUGCGAAGAACAAACUGCAUUGACGGUACCGAAAAGC